CUGCAAAUAUCCUGUUCUGAUCUGUAAUGAUCAGGACAGGCUAAACAUCUACUGGAGUCAGACCACACCUGUGCCCAGGUCUUGUUUUCAAAUGCUGGUGACAAGC